UUCAGUCGAACGGACUUUAUGGGAUUAAUUCUUCGGAAAGCGUCCUGUAAAGUUAGUGGCGGACGGGUGAGUAACGCGUGAGCAACCUGCCUUUGAUAGGGGGAUAACAGAGGGAAACUUCUGCUAAUACCGCAUAAAGCAUGGGGAUCGCAUGGUCUCGAUGCCAAAGGAGCAAUCCGAUCAAAGAUGGGCUCGCGUCCGAUUAGAUAGUUGGUGGGGUAACGGCCUACCAAGUCGACGAUCGGUAGCCGGACUGAGAGGUUGAACGGCCACAUUGGAACUGAGAGACGGUCCAGACUCCUACGGGAGGCAGCAGUGGGGAAUAUUGGGCAAUGGACGAAAGUCUGACCCAGCGACGCCGCGUGAGGGAAGAAGGUCUUCGGAUUGUAAACCUUAGUCAACAGGGAAGAAGAAAGUGACGGUACCUGUGGAGGAAGCCACGGCUAACUACGUGCCAGCAGCCGCGGUAAUACGUAGGUGGCGAGCGUUAUCCGGAUUUACUGGGUGUAAAGGGUGUGUAGGCGGGAAGGCAAGUCAGAUGUGAAAACUAUGGGCUCAACCCAUAGCCUGCAUUUGAAACUGUUUUUCUUGAGAGUCGGAGAGGUAAGUGGAAUUCCCGGUGUAGCGGUGAAAUGCGUAGAUAUCGGGAGGAACAUCUGUGGCGAAGGCGACUUACUGGACGAUUACUGACGCUGAGACACGAAAGCGUGGGGAGCAAACAGGA
rnacentral:rRNA from 1 species